AGCAGUGAGGGGAGGGGCACUCAUCUUUGGAGAAUGCAAUCAGCUUUACUCUGCAAAGCUCUCCAUUUACUUCUUAUGACUGGCCCCUUUAUUCAACAACCAUCAAUAACAGCAAUGGAAGGAACUACCUGAGGCUUAGAGGGAUAAGUGUGCUGGCCCAGGUGACUCAGGGAACAGUCAAGGGCUAGGACACAGACCUAAUGCUGCAUUCAACUUCCUGGCUGGAAGGCCAGGAUGAAGUUAGGUGGUGAUCCGAGAAAUGUCCUCGGGCUUGCCGUUUCUCAGAGACUGCUGAUCAGGAAGGACCUCUGGAAACCACAGUUUCCACUUCCGCUGAGGGGCAGAAAGCAUGGGGCAGCCCAACCCCUCGAUGCCUGGGAAGUGACAGAGGACCAAAGCUGGCUGUGUGUCGUAGGGCUACUGCCCUUACCAGAGAGAGAGAGAACGAGCAGGCAGAGGGGAGGAGCAGAGGGAGAGAGAAUUUGAAGCCGGCGCCAUACUCAGCACGGAGCCUGACGUGGGUCGAUUCCAUGAAUGUGAGAUCACGACCUAAGCCAAAACCAAGAGUCAACCAAGAGUUGGAGGCUUAACUGAUUGAGUUAAGAAUGCUAACUGACAAGAUUGAGUUAAGAAUGCACCCAGGCACCCCACUUCUAUGAAUCUUAAUACAUGUAAAAAUUCAUGUAAUCACCACCACAAUCAAGAUAUGGAACAGUUCUACUGCCCCAAAAAAAUCCCUUAUGCUGUUUCUUUGUAGUCACAUUCUUCCUCCCAUCCCCCACAAACCUCUUGGUAAUUUGAACUAUUCUCCAUGACUAUUGUUUGUCUUUUCAAAAAUGUCACAUAAAUGGAACAAAGUAGCAUAUAAUCUUUAAAAAAUUUUUUUUCAUUUAUUUGAGACAGAGAGAGAGAGAAUG